rnacentral:rRNA from 1 species
ACGUAGGUGACAAGCGUUAUCCGGAAUUACUGGGCGUAAAGCGCACGCAGGCGGCUGCGUAAGUCUGACGUGAAAUCUCUCGGCUUAACCGGGAGCGGUCGUUGGAAACUAUGCGGCUUGAGGCGAUGAGAGGGGUGUGGAAUUCCCGGUGUAGUGGUGGAAUGCGUAGAUAUCGGGAGGAACAUCAGUGGCGAAAGCGGCACCCUGGCAUUAGCCUGACGCUCAGGUGCGAAAGCGUGGGGAGCGAACGGGA